rnacentral:rRNA from 1 species
AACGAACGCUGGCGGCAGGCUUAACACAUGCAAGUCGAACGCAUCCUUCGGGGUGAGUGGCAGACGGGUGAGUAACGCGUGGGAACGUGCCCUUCAGUUCGGGAUAACCCAGGGAAACUUGGGCUAAUACCGGAUACGUGCGAGAGCAGAAAGAUUUAUCGCUGAAGGAUCGGCCCGCGUCUGAUUAGCUAGUUGGUGGGGUAAUGGCCACCAAGGCGACGAUCAGUAGCUGGUCUGAGAGGAUGAUCAGCCACAUUGGGACUGAGACACGGCCCAAACUCCUACGGGAGGCAGCAGUGGGGAAUAUUGGACAAUGGGCGCAAGCCUGAUCCAGCCAUGCCGCGUGAGUGAUGAAGGCCUUAGGGUUGUACAGCUCUUUCGUCCGGGACGAUAGUGACGGUACCGGAAGAAGAAGCCCCGGCUAACUUCGUGCCAGCAGCCGCGGUAAUAC